AUGUGUUAUUCACUGACAGUUUCUCCUCCUGUUAACCCUUGUGAUCUGAUCCAUGGAUGAAUCAUUCAGCAGCUUCAGUUCUCAUUCAUUCAGUUGCAGUGAAAAGGGCGACCAGCACAGUCUUCAGAAUUUGUCCUUUUCUCCACAGAAGAAAGAAAGUCAUACAAGUCUGGUGCAUUGAGGGCUGAUGAAGAACGGUGUAUUCUGCUAUCAGCUGGAGCUGAAGAGGGUCAUCUCCGCCACAUUGGCAUCUUGUGUUUCCAGCUCCUGCUGGCAGCUUUCUCUGAUCACGUACACGACCAGUCCGAAACAGAUAAAAAUGAGCAGCACUAUGCCGAUCACCUGUUAAUGAGACAGAAACGGUGGACGUCUGUAACAGUGACUGAAUGGCGCUGAAGCUGCGCAGAUCUGAUGCGCUCGAGGCACCGCGCGGACGGGAGCGCGCGCUGACAGCUGAUGAUGCGCGCGAAUGAGCCUGCGGGGUGCGCGCACUGACAGCUGAAGGUUCUUCGCGAUGACGGACACACCGAUGGCCCAUCAUCAUCAUCACCAUCAUCUUCAGCAUCAGCAUCCCUGAGCAUCAUCAGCAUCAUCUUCAUCCUCAUCCAUGCAUCAGAGCCGCGCCGCGUCUGUCGCGUUUCUCUCCGUGCGUCCGCGCUCCUCCUCAACGCUCCUCCGCGACUGAAGCCGCUCCGCGUCUCUCCUCACCGCUCGCGUCUCUUCUCUCUCUCCUCCUGCGGGAUGCGGUCCUACACGGGGAUGCUCGCGCUGCUCCUCAUCCACGGGAACCUGAUGCUCACAUACGUAUCAUCUCAGAACGGUAAGCAUGACGGAACGCGGUCGUGCGGGAUCUCUGUGUGUGUGUGUAAUCUGCUUUAGAGGUCGAUGCCAUCUUUACGAUGACAGACACCCCUCUGCAUUACAGUGUUGGU